UCUGGUGCUUCAAGAGAAGGGGUUACACCUGUUCCCAUCCCGAACACAGCAGUUAAGCCCUUCAUCGCCGAUGAUAGUCGCAAGGCGAAAGUAGGCCAGCGCCGGAA
rnacentral:rRNA from 1 species